CAGAGGAAAGGCUGAAGGUUGAGUUGAUUACCAGUAGCUCACGAUAUAAUCAUUCAUGCCUACAUAACACAGCUUUCAUAAGAACCCAAUAGGACAGGGUUCAAGGACCCUCUAAAGAAUGCCACACCUAUAGAGGCAUGGAAACUCUUUGCCACUUUCAUCUGACUAUUGAUCUAUAUCCUUUGUAAUGCCUCUUAUAAGAAAUGGGCAGAUUCUAGCAGUGUUUGUGAGAAAAACUGAUGGAUCCUGCAGAUUAACUAUGGACAGCCAAAUAUUGAGUAAAGUGAUGUCUACAACAGCAUCAGCUAUGCCUGAUAUGGUGUUAAUUCACAUUGUGAAGUCCUCAAUAGGAAAAAGAUGCCUCCCUGGUCGACCUUCCUGGAAAGUAUGCAUAUCAUUACUGCUUAGAUUUUGUUGGAGAGAAAUCACACUACCAUCAAAGACAACGGGUCAAAAAGAAUGCCGUCCUAAGCUGAGAAGCCAUCUUCCUAACGACAGCCAUGUAAUAUGAAAGGGAAAAACACACUGUUAUUGAAGAACUUAUCAGCUAUGUCACAUCUUCCACACAAAUACUCAGGAAAGUUAAAAGAAAAUUUUACCUCGGACACAGUUGAUGAUUGCUAAAGUCCUAUUGCAUGCUUUAAGAUGCCUUGCGUUUGGUGAAUUGAAGCCUGAUAUGUCAACAUACUCUCUGUAAACACAGCAGCACAGAGGGCAAAGAAACACUUAUCCAGCACCACAGCUAGGACAAAAGGAAUUAUUUUGACAGUAAAUGGACUUGCAGCUUAAGU
rnacentral:lncRNA from 1 species